rnacentral:rRNA from 1 species
GACGAACGCUGGCGGCGUGCCUAAUACAUGCAAGUAGGACGCAGUUGCGAACGGGUGAGUAACGCGUAGGUAACUGCCUAUUAGAGGGGGAUAACUAUUGGAAACGAUAGCUAAUACCGCAUACUAGUAGAUGGACCUGCGUUGUAUUAGCUAGUAGGUAGGGUAAGGGCCUACCUAGGCGACGAGACAUAGCCGAGCUGAGGGAGUGAGUGGCCACGCUGGGACUGAGACACGGCCCAGACUCCUUCAGGAGGCAGCAGUAGGGAAUCUUCGGAAAUGGGGGGAAACCUGACCGGGAAACGCCGAGUGCGUGAAGAAGGGUUUCGGAUCGGAAAGCUAUGUUGUUUAGGAAGCGGUACUUAGCCAGAAAGUGACGGCUAACAACGUGCCAGCAGCCGCGGUAAUAC